rnacentral:rRNA from 1 species
GUGGGGAAUAUUGGACAAUGGGCGAAAGCCUGAUCCAGCCAUGCCGCGUGUGUGAAGAAGGUCUUCGGAUUGUAAAGCACUUUAAGUUGGGAGGAAGGGCAGUAAGUUAAUACCUUGCUGUUUUGACGUUACCGACAGAAUAAGCACCGGCUAACUUCGUGCCAGCAGCCGCGGUAAUACGAAGGGUGCAAGCGUUAAUCGGAAUUACUGGGCGUAAAGCGCGCGUAGGUGGUUUUGUAAGUUGGAGGUGAAAUCCCCGGGCUCAACCUGGGAACUGCCUCAAAAACUGCAUGACUAGAGUACGGUAGAGGGUAGUGGAAUUUCCUGUGUAGCGGUGAAAUGCGUAGAUAUAGGAAGGAACACCAGUGGCGAAGGCGACUACCUGGACUGAUACUGACACUGAGGUGCGAAAGCGUGGGGAGCAAACAGGAUUAGAAACCCCAGUAGUCC